rnacentral:rRNA from 1 species
AUUAGAUACCCUGGUAGUCCACGCAGUAAACGAUGAUAGCUCGUUGUCGGCGAUACAUUGUCGGUGACUAAGAGAAAUCGUUAAGCUAUCCACCUGGGGAGUACGCCGGCAACGGUGAAACUCAAAGGAAUUGACGGGGGCCCGCACAAGCGGAGGAACAUGUGGUUUAAUUCGAUGAUACGCGAGGAACCUUACCCGGGCUCAAACGGGAGCGGGACCGGCCGGAGACGGCCGGGUCUACGGACUGCUUCCGAGGUGCUGCAUGGUUGUCGUCAGCUCGUGCCGUGAGGUGUCGGCUUAAGUGCCAUAACGAGCGCAACCCCUGCCGGCAGUUGCUAACGGUCAAUGCCGAGGACUCUGCCGGGACUGCCGCCGCAAGGCGCGAGGAAGGCGGGGAUGACGUCAAAUCAGCACGGCCCUUACGUCCGGGGCGACACACGUGUUACAAUGGGUGGCACAGCGGGAAGCCAGGCGGCGACGCCGAGCGGAACCCGAAACCCACUCUCAGUUCGGAUCGGAGUCUGCAACCCGACUCCGUGAAGCUGGAUUCGCUAGUAAUCGCGCAUCAGCCAUGGCGCGGUGAAUACGUUCCCGGGCCUUGUACACACCGCCCGUCAAGCCAUGGGAGCCGAGGGCGCUUGAAGUGCGUCGCCGCGAGGCGCGCCCUAGAGCGAAAUCGGUGACUGGGGCUAAGUCGUAACAAGGUACC